GCUCAGACACUCAAAGGAAUUGACGGGGCCCGGCACAAGCGGUGGAGUAUGUGGUUUAAUUCGAUGCAACGCGAAGAACCUUACCUGGUCUUGACAUCCCGGAGACCCUUAGGAAACUAGGGGGUGCUUCCAUCUGGAAGAAUCUGGAGACAGGUGCUGCAUGGCUGUCGUCAGCUCGUGUCGUGAGAUGUUGGGUUAAGUCCCGCAACGAGCGCAACCCUUGCCUUUAGUUGCCAGCAGUUCGGCUGGGCACUCUAAAGGGACUGCCGGUGUUAAACCGGAGGAAGGUGGGGAUGACGUCAAGUCCUCAUGGCCUUUAUGACCAGGGCUACACACGUACUACAAUGGCCGAUACAAAGGGCAGCGACACUGCGAGGUGAAGCCAAUCCCGUAAAAUCGGUCUCAGUCCGGAUUGGAGUCUGCAACUCGACUCCAUGAAGUUGGAAUCGCUAGUAAUCGUGGAUCAGCAUGCCACGGUGAAUACGUUCCCGGGCCUU
rnacentral:rRNA from 1 species